rnacentral:rRNA from 1 species
GACAGAGGGUGCGAACGUUGUUCGGAAUUACUGGGCGUAAAGCGCGUGUAGGCGGCCGCGCAAGUCGGGUGUGAAAGCCCGGGGCUCAACCCCGGAAGUGCACUCGAAACUGCACGGCUGGAGUCUCGGAGAGGAAGGCGGAAUUCUAGGUGUAGAGGUGAAAUUCGUAGAUAUCUAGAGGAACACCGGUGGCGAAGGCGGCCUUCUGGACGAGCACUGACGCUGAGACGCGAAAGCGUGGGGAGCAAACAGG